rnacentral:rRNA from 1 species
GACGAACGCUGGCGGCGUGCCUAAUACAUGCGAGUCGAACGCUGAAGGAGGAGCUUGCUCUUCUGGAUGAGUUGCGAACGGGUGAGUAACGCGUAGGUAACCUGCCUGGUAGCGGGGGAUAACUAUUGGAAACGAUAGCUAAUACCGCAUAACAGUAGAUGUUGCAUGACAUUUGCUUAAAAGGUGCAAUUGCAUCACUACCAGAUGGACCUGCGUUGUAUUAGCUAGUUGGUGGGGUAACGGCUCACCAAGGCGACGAUACAUAGCCGACCUGAGAGGGUGAUCGGCCACACUGGGACUGAGACACGGCCCAGACUCCUACGGGAGGCAGCAGUAGGGAAUCUUCGGCAAGGGACGGAAGUCUGACCGAGCAACGCCGCGUGAGUGAAGAAGGUUUUCGGAUCGUAAAGCUCUGUUGUAAGAGAAGAACGAGUGUGAGAGUGGAAAGUUCACACUGUGACGGUAUCUUACCAGAAAGGGACGGCUAACUACGUG